rnacentral:rRNA from 1 species
GAUGAACGCUGGCGGCGUGCCUAAUACAUGCAAGUCGAGCGAACAGACGAGUAGCUUGCUCCUCUGACGUUAGCGGCGGACGGGGGAGUAACACGUGGAUAACCUACCUAUAAGACUGGGAUAACUUCGGGAAACCGGAGCUAAUACCGGAUAAUAUAUUGAACCGCAUGGUUCAAUAGUGAAAGACGGUUUUGCUGUCACUUAUAGAUGGAUCCGCGCCGCAUUAGCUAGUUGGUAAGGUAACGGCUUACCAAGGCAGCGAUGCGUAGCCGACCUGAGAGGGUGAUCGGCCACACUGGAACUGAGACACGGUCCAGACUCCUACGAGAGGCAGCAGUAGGGAAUCUUCCGCAAUGGGCGGAAGCCUGACGGAGCAACGCCGCGUGAGUGAUGAAGGUCUUCGGAUCGUAAAACUCUGUUAUUAGGGAAGAACCAAUGUGUAAGUAACUAUGCACGUCUUGACGGUACCUAAUCAGAAAGCCACGGCUAACUACGUG